UUCUUCAGCCUUCAGUUACAUUUUAAAAGACUUUCUACACAAUGUCACACUUACAACGUGCCAUUAGGAUACUCAUAUUCGCAUAAAGUUGUGUCGUGGUUUUACAACUGUUUGUUGCUUUUGUACAUGUGUCAAUUCCUUCUGUGGUGGUCAUCACUCUUCUGGUGUUUUUUUCAUGAAGGCUUCUAUAGUCUUCCUCACCUUUGAACUCUUUUCCCCUGUCUUUAAUGCGUGCUCAGUGCUUCUUGUUUUUCAGUCUAACUUGUUUUUAGCUAAUUUCACAGUUUAUGAGUUCCCUUAAAAAUUGCUAUCUGCUUGCUUUUGCUUGUGCAUAUUAUCUCACUUUCUUUGUUAUCUUGCUUGUUUUACCUGCACAUCUUGAUAUAAUAUUACUUGUGGUUAACCUUUUGUUACAUACUACUUAGGUUUCACUUCUAGAGAUGGACUUGGGCAGGAGGAACCCCCAACCCAACAUGCUCACAACAUGUUUUCCCCCCAAAACAAGACUUGUUAUUCCUAAGCCUUGGCUGGAUGGAGAAGGAGGCUGUGAGGAAGAGGCUCUGGGACCCCCAUGCGGGCAACAAGAUGCAGUUGGAGACCAGAGAAGACAAAUCAGAACCUUGUUGAAGAGGCUUUUUCAAGUGGCUCCACCGUGCAGGAAUUUAACAGGGAGAAAAAAACGUGGAGAUAUCCCACAAGGAGGUGCUGCAAACCCAGCCCAUGAUGCUCCGAGGAGGAAAGACCAACCCUGUGACGAGAAGGCGGACGGAGAUCCUGCUGGAGCUCUUGCUUCUUGGUCCAGCAGCAGCUUCACGCCAAGGAGAAGCCCUGCAAGUGCUUGGAAUGUGGAAUGAGCUUCACCAUCAGCACGACCUUCAUCACCCACCAGCACCUGCACACGGAGGAACGGCUCUGCAGGUGACUUGACUGUGGAAAGGGCUUAAACCACAACUCAUUGUCCAGCGUCGUGUCCACACUGGGGAGAGGGCCCUAUAAGUGUCCUGAGUGUUAGAAAACAUUUUGGAGCUGCUUGCAUCUCAUAGAGUAUCAGUGGACAUACAAGUGGAGAGGCCCUAUGAGUGUCCCGAGUGUGGGAAGAGGUUCUGGACCUGCUUGGAUCUUAUCAAGCAUCAGCAGGUGCAAAGAGGAGAGGGCCUUCUGCUGCACAGACUGCGAGGAGAGCUUUAUCUGUAGCACUGACCUCAACAUCCACCACUGCAUCAUCCCCUCCUCACAUCCCUCAGAAAAUGAUACUGGGAAUGAUGCCAGCACAUCUCAACUGAAGAUUAAGUUUUCCAUGGAAGGAGUGCUUAUUCUUCUCCCAGAAGGAAUCAACACUAGAAUGAACCAGACUGGGCACACACAUCACGAAGCCCAACCCGGAGACGUUCACUUUUCCUAUUUGUAGUGGUCACUAUAGCCACACUCGAGCCUGAAUGCAUUUCAAUGACAAUUGCUGAAGAAACAACCUAUACUUGUGCAAAUCUUGGAGCUCCACCUAAUAACAUGAAUUUGGCAGAAGGAAAUAUAACCACAAGAUUUGAAACACAACCUCCAACCAACGAAGGGGAAGUUUACUUAGCCAGUUUCCAAUUGACGUCCUUUGUAAAACAGAAUAGCUGUUACAAAGCCAGUAGCUGCUCUGAGAGAAUUACAUGGAAACAAAAUAGGGAAAGGGAAGUAGUAGCAUGUGGAGGUAUAAUGUAUCCACAGCCCUAACUGGGCUGAUGCAUAUUGGCACAAUAAAAACUAACUUAGACCCUCCUGAUGCCCUCCAUCACCUCCCAAGCUCCUGAUAAGGCUGUUGAAACCUUAUCUCCAAAAAAUGUAUACAAUUGGAUCCUAUACCAUCAAAUAUACAGGCAGCAACCUGUAUCAGAUCAGAGAUCGUGAUCUGCACUGAGCUUUCCACUUGUUAGAGGAACCAGGGAGGAUUUAAUAGCUGCUGUACCAGUCAGCCUGGGUGUCUUGGUUUAAUUUGAAUUUCUCGGCCAAUGCAUUAAGUAAUG